rnacentral:rRNA from 1 species
AACGAACGCUGGCGGCAUGCCUAACACAUGCAAGUCGAACGAGAUCUUCGGGUCUAGUGGCGCACGGGUGCGUAACGCUUGGGAAUCUGCCCUUUGGUUCGGAAUAACAGUUGGAAACGACUGCUAAUACCGGAUGAUGACGAAAGUCCAAAGAUUUAUCGCCAGAGGAUGAGCCCGCGUAGGAUUAGCUAGUUGGUGUGGUAAAGGCGCACCAAGGCGACGAUCCUUAGCUGGUCUGAGAGGAUGAUCAGCCACACUGGGACUGAGACACGGCCCAGACUCCUACGGGAGGCAGCAGUGGGGAAUAUUGGACAAUGGGCGAAAGCCUGAUCCAGCAAUGCCGCGUGAGUGAUGAAGGCCUUAGGGUUGUAAAGCUCUUUUACCCGGAUGACAAUGACAGUACCGGGAGGAUAAGCUCCGGCUAACUCCGUGCCAGCCGCCGCCGUAA